GAUGAACGCUAGCUACAGGCUUAACACAUGCAAGUCGAGGGGAAACGAUAUUGGAAGCUUGCUUCCGAUAGGCGUCGACCGGCGCACGGGUGAGUAACGCGUAUCCAACCUGCCCACCACUUGGGGAUAACCUUGCGAAAGUAAGACUAAUACCCAAUGACGUCCAUAGAAGACAUCUGAAAUGGAUUAAAGAUUUAUCGGUGUUGGCUGGGGAUGCGUCUGAUUAGCUUGUUGGCGGGGUAACGGCCCACCAAGGCGACGAUCAGUAGGGGUUCUGAGAGGAAGGUCCCCCACAUUGGAACUGAGACACGGUCCAAACUCCUACGGGAGGCAGCAGUGAGGAAUAUUGGUCAAUGGGCGAGAGCCUGAACCAGCCAAGUAGCGUGCAGGACGACGGCCCUAUGGGUUGUAAACUGCUUUUAUAAGGGAAUAAAGUGAGUCUCGUGAGACUUUUUGCAUGUACCUUAUGAAUAAGGACCGGCUAAUUCCGUGCCAGCCGCCGCUGUAA
rnacentral:rRNA from 1 species